rnacentral:rRNA from 1 species
AGUGAACGCUGGCGGUAGGCCUAACACAUGCAAGUCGAACGGCAGCACAGUAAGAGCUUGCUCUUACGGGUGGCGAGUGGCGGACGGGUGAGGAAUACAUCGGAAUCUACUUUUUCGUGGGGGAUAACGUAGGGAAACUUACGCUAAUACCGCAUACGACCUACGGGUGAAAGCAGGGGAUCUUCGGACCUUUCGCGAUUGAAUGAGCCGAUGUCGGAUUAGCUAGUUGGCGGGGUAAAGGCCCACCAAGGCGACGAUCCGUAGCUGGUCUGGGAGGAUGAUCAGCCACACUGGAACUGAGACACGGUCCAUACUCCUACGGGAGGCAGCAGUGGGGAAUAUUGGACAAUGGGCGCAAGCCUGAUCCAGCGAUACCGCGUGGGUGAAGAAGGCCUUCGGGUUGUAAAGCCCUUUUGUUGGGAAAGAAAAGCAGCAGGUUAAUACCCCGCUGUUCUGACGGUACCCAAAGAAUAAGCACCGGCUAACUUCGUG